CUUGAUUCUCGCUGGGGAUAAAAAUUUAAUUUCUUGACAAUUUGAUUUUUUGCUAUGUCUUGUCUCGCUAGUUUAUGUGCCCAACCAUGCUGGGCAUUUUGUAUUGGCAAUCUAACAUUGGAACCUUAACAGGAACUAGUAUUAUUUGCCACUUGCGAGUCAUUAAAGUUUGUGAUGCUGUAAUAGUCUACCAUCUUUUUAAAGGCCAAAGGAAAAAAGGAACUGAUUGCAGAAUUGGUUGGUUGACAUAUAUAGCUGACUUUCACAGUUGUUCUAUCCUCUUUCGAAAAUUUGCCGCGAGGGUGUAGCUACUUGAAACUAGAUUUUGGAGGUGCGGAGGCCCUACCAGAGUGUCUUCAUUCUUUACACCUGGUGUUGCAAAGAGUUUCGGCUUGCCUUCACUAAUUAUUAGUUUCUUUUGGGUUGAAAUUGAAGAUGCAUGUUCUUUUUAGGAUGUGAUAAUCAUUUACAUGGUAAAUGUCUCUUUACGAGGAUUGGGUUGUUCUUGUCAUUUAAUGGUGUUGAUUCAAAUGCAACCAUAUCAACAAAUUCAUGGAAAAUCUAUGACAAACAACAUAAGUCGAAGCGGUAGUUUGCAGGAAAUAAUUGAUGUUUUCCCCUUGAAGAAUCAAUGCUGAGCUAGUUGGCUACAAGAAAUAAUCAAUGCUUUUUCCCCUACUUUUUAUAUGCAUAUUCAGGAUAUGCUGAACGUAAACAUGUGCUCAAGCCAUAAUUCUUGGUACACCAGUAUUGAACUAUUGUGGUCUUUAGUAGUCAAAAAUUUGUUUCCUUCUUUGAACUUUCAGUUCUAUGGAUCUGGGUGGGGAUAGUCAUUCUGUAGUUAGUUGCAAUACCUUAUAUGUCGUGUAUGUUCAGUAUGACGUCCAUAUGCUUAAUUAAUUU